CCUGCCUCAGCCUCCCGAGUAGCUGGGAUUACAGGCGUGCACCACCAUGCCUGGCUAAUUUUGUAUUUUUAGUAGAGAUGGGGUUUCUGCAUGGUGGUCAGGCUGGUCUCGAACUCCCCAUCUCAAAUGAUCCGCCCACCUCGGCCUCCUAAAGUGCUGGGAUUACAGGCAUGAGCCACCGUGCCCGGCCCGAGAGUAGAUCGUAAGUCACUUUACCACAUACACAAACAAUAACAACUAAAUGUGAUGACAGAUGUGUUAAUUUGGUUGUGGGAAUUGUUGCAAAAUGUAUAUCAAAUCAAGUUUCAUGCAUUAAAUAUGAAUACCUUUUUGCUAAUUAUGCCUAAAUAAAGCUGGGAAAAAUUGGUUGGUGAGUACAUGUAGUUCAGCUGUAUCAUUUUGUGUACUUUCAGUGUACUUAAAACACUUGAACAUUAAAAAUAAAAUAAUGGGCUUGGUGCGGUGGCUCACGCCUAUAAUCCCAGCAAUUUGGGAGGCCGAGGCGGGCAGAUCACCUGAGGUUGGGAGUU
rnacentral:lncRNA from 1 species